rnacentral:rRNA from 1 species
UACGUAGGGUGCAAGCGUUGUCCGGAAUUAUUGGGCGUAAAGAGCUCGUAGGCGGUCUGUCGCGUCUGCUGUGAAAACUCAGGGCUUAACCCUGAGCUUGCAGUGGGUACGGGCAGACUAGAGUGCGGUAGGGGGAGACUGGAAUUCCUGGUGUAGCGGUGGAAUGCGCAGAUAUCAGGAAGAACACCCGUGGCUAAGGCGGUUCUCUAGUACGGUACUGACGCUGGAGAACGCGAAAAGCGUGGGGGAGCGAACAGG